UACUGAAUCAUAAAAUAAGUUAUACAUCAGGUUACAUGAUAGGUCAUACAUUAAGUCAUGUAUUGCGUUAAAUAAUUAUUCAUUUGUUAUUUAUGUUACAGGUCACAGUUCCUCCGACGUCAUUGACCGGACUCCCCCUGUUCAUCAGGGGGAGGGACGGGUCCCUGGACUCCCCCUGAUGAACAGGGGAAGUCCAGGGGGUCAUAACUGCGGCGACAGCAUCUCAGAGUACCUGAAAUAUACGAAAAGUGCAUUAAUAAUGACGUAAUAUAAGAAUAUGUUAUUACCAAUAUGAUAU
rnacentral:misc_RNA from 1 species